rnacentral:rRNA from 1 species
ACUGACGCUAAAGCUCGAAGGUGCGGGUAUCGAACAGGAUUAGAUACCCUGGUAGUCCGCACGGUAAACGAUGGAUGCCCGCUGUUUGCGAUAUACUGUGAGCGGCCAAGCGAAAGCGUUAAGCAUCCCACCUGGGGAGUACGCCGGCAACGGUGAAACUCAAAGGAAUUGACGGGGGCCCGCACAAGCGGAGGAACAUGUGGUUUAAUUCGAUGAUACGCGAGGAACCUUACCCGGGCUUGAACUGCAGCAGAACGAUUGAGAGAUCAUGAGGUCCUUCGGGACUGCUGUGGAGGUGCUGCAUGGUUGUCGUCAGCUCGUGCCGUGAGGUGUCGGCUUAAGUGCCAUAACGAGCGCAACCCCUCUCUUCAGUUGCCAUCAGGUAGAGCUGGGCACUCUGGAGACACUGCCACCGUAAGGUGUGAGGAAGGUGGGGAUGACGUCAAAUCAGCACGGCCCUUACGUCCGGGGCUACACACGUGUUACAAUGGGUGGUACAGAGCGUCGGCGGCCUGCAAAGUCCGUCCAAUCGCAAAAUCCAUCCUCAGUUCGGACUGGGGUCUGCAACCCGACCCCACGAAGCUGGAUUCGCUAGUAAUCG